UAGGGACCCCUUUUUGUUUUUAUCCAUGUGCGCACGCGCGCCGGGCUUCCGCGUUGGUGUGGGCUGGGUUACUACGUCAUUGGGCUGCGCGGCGCGGCUGGAGCUGUGGUUGCCGGAAGUUGAGCGGCGACAGGUAAGAACAGUGGCCAUGGGGGACCCUGGACUGUCCAAGCUGCAGUUCGCCCCCUUUAAUAGUGCCCUGGAUGUUGGCUUCUGGCAUGAACUAACCCAGAAGAAGUUGAACGAGUAUCGCCUGGAUGAGACCCCCAAGGACAUCAGGGGCUACUACUACAAUGGUGACUCUGCUGGCCUGCCCACCCGCCUGACAUUGGAGUUCAGUGCUUUUGACAUGAGUGCCCCCACGCCUGCCCGCUGCUGCCCUGCCAUGGGGACCCUGUACAACACCAACACGCUCGAGGCCUUCAAGACUGCAGACAAGAAGCUCCUCUUGGAACAGUCAGCCAACGAGAUCUGGGAAGCCAUAAAGUCAGGCGCUGCUCUCGAGAACCCCAUGCUCCUCAACAAAUUUCUGCUCUUGACCUUUGCAGACCUGAAGAAGUACCACUUCUACUAUUGGUUUUGCUGCCCCGCCCUCUGUCUUCCUGAGAGCAUCCCUCUAAUCCAGGGACCUGUGGGCUUGGAUCAAAGGCUUUCACCAAAACAGAUACAGGCCCUCGAGCAUGCCUACGAUGAUCUGUGUCAAGCUGAAGGAGUCACGGCCUUACCAUACUUCUUAAUCAAGUACGAUGACAACACUGUGAUGGUCUCCUUGCUCAAACACUACAAUGAUUUCUUCCAAGGUCAAAGGACAAAGAUAACAGUUGGUGUGUACGAUCCCUGUAACCUAGCCCAGUACCCCGGAUGGCCUUUGAGGAAUUUUUUGGUCCUGGCAGCCCACAGAUGGAGCGGCAGUUUCCAGACCGUUGAAGUCCUCUGCUUUCGAGACCGCACCAUGCAGGGGGCGAGAGAUGUGGCACACAGCAUCAUCUUCGAGGUGAAACUUCCAGAAAUGGCAUUUAGCCCAGAUUGUCCUAAAGCAGUUGGCUGGGAGAAGAACCAGAAAGGAGGCAUGGGACCAAGGAUGGUGAACCUCAGCGGAUGCAUGGACCCCAAAAGGCUGGCUGAGUCAUCCGUGGAUCUGAAUCUCAAGUUGAUGUGUUGGCGAUUGGUCCCCACCUUGGACUUGGACAAGGUCGUGUCUGUCAAGUGCCUGUUGCUGGGAGCUGGUACCUUGGGGUGUAAUGUAGCUAGGACACUGAUGGGCUGGGGUGUCAGACAUGUCACAUUUGUGGACAACGCCAAGAUCUCCUACUCCAACCCUGUGAGGCAGCCUCUGUAUGAAUUUGAAGAUUGUCUGGGGGGUGGCAGGCCCAAGGCCCUGGCUGCAGCAGAGCGGCUCCAGAAAAUAUUUCCCGGAGUGAAUGCCAGUGGGUUCAACAUGAGCAUCCCCAUGCCAGGACAUCCUGUGAAUUUCUCUGACGUCACGAUGGAGCAGGCCCGCAGAGAUGUGGAGCAGCUGGAGCAGCUCAUCGAGAGCCAUGAUGUCAUCUUCCUGCUAAUGGACACCAGAGAGAGCCGGUGGCUUCCUGCUGUCAUUGCAGCCAGCAAGCGGAAGCUCGUCAUCAACGCUGCCUUGGGGUUUGACACCUUUGUUGUCAUGAGACACGGCCUGAAGAAACCCAAGCCACAGGGAGCUGGGGACCUGUGCCCAAGCCACCUUAUGGCACCUGCUGACCUGGGCUCCUCGCUCUUUGCUAACAUCCCUGGAUACAAGCUUGGCUGCUAUUUCUGCAAUGAUGUAGUGGCUCCAGGAGAUUCAACCAGAGACCGGACACUGGACCAGCAGUGCACGGUGAGCCGCCCAGGCCUGGCCGUGAUUGCAGGUGCCCUGGCUGUGGAGCUGAUGGUUUCUGUCCUGCAGCAUCCUGAGGGGGGCUAUGCCAUCGCCAGCAGCAGUGACGACCGCAUGAAUGAGCCUCCCACCUCUCUGGGGCUUGUGCCUCACCAGAUCCGGGGAUUUUCUGUCACGGUUCGAUAAUGUCCUUCCUGUCAGCCUGGCAUUUGACAAAUGUACAGCCUGUUCACCCAAAGUUCUUGAUCAAUACGAGCGGGAAGGAUUUGCUUUCCUAGCGAAGGUGUUUAACUCCUCACAUUCCUUCUUAGAAGACCUGACUGGACUUACACUUCUCCAUCAAGAGACCCAAGCUGCAGAGUUAAACUGCCUAACUAGUUGGCUGGAAACAGUGGCCUCUGGAGUACCGGUCAAACUAUGAAAAGGAGAGCCAUCCUAAGGCAGAGGUGACCUGCCUUGCAUCUCGGCCGGGUGACCUCCAAGCCUGAUGCUUCCUUCAGCAUCCCUUCCUUUGACUUUCUCUCGUGCCCUCUUUGAGAGCUCAGCCUCCCCCACAUGGCAACCACACACCAACCCUAAAUCCCUCCGACAUUUGCCUUAUGUAGCGGGCCUUCCACUUCCCCGUGGUGGGAACGGAGGAUGCAGCAGGAGAAACUGUACUCUGGACAGUGAAUUUUGCCCUCUUCCUGGGCUGGCACUAUGUAAUGAGAUCUUCUCAGGCACCCGCAUACCAAAGCACCCAGACCAGGCCCACCGAGGCUUAUGUCAGGGAGCUAACACCCUCAGUUUUCAACGGGUUGAUCAGGACAGCACUCCACCAUCGGUACAGAUAGUGUCACCUCAGUAUUGACGGACAAGCAGCCCCUGCCAUUAGCUCAACAGGGGAGUUCAUGGGUGCUGACCCUCCAGGACAAUUCCUGGGUUCCCCCAGCACCAAAACCUGCCACCAAACCCUCUCUAGAACAGCUCUCCUAUAUAAAAAUCUCUAACGCUGUGUGUUCAUAAUUGCAUCCUGCUCUAAAAAUACCAAUUAAUCUAAACAAAGGAAUAAAGAAAAAGCAUUAGAGAGCUAAAAGAAAACAAGGCAAGAGUCCCAGCUGCUCGGAAGGCUGGAGCAGAAGCAUCGGGAGUUGUCGGCAACACAGACUAUAGAGAGACACAAGCUAUCUGUAGAAGGCGUCGCUGACAGCGAGGAAAGCUUCGGUAGACCACAUCACCAUCUGCACGUGUAGGAAACAGAGAUGCUGGGAUGUGGGGCAGUUACCAGCCAAGAGCCGAGAGGCAGCACCUCGGUCAUUCCCAGAAUGCGGAGUGUUGCUGUGGACAUGGGAGUGGGUGGGAAGGGCACAUGCUGGACGGACAGCUUAGAACAACCUGACUUAAAGUUCAGGCCGUGGAAUGAGCGGAGAUCUCUCUGCUGGGAGUCCCCGAGGACGCUCCCACCAGAGCUGGCUGGGGUAUGAUUGGGAACCUAACGCAUUAAGAUGUUGUGGGCAACGGUUUCCAAUGAUUAAGGUCACAAGCGAAAACAGAACCAUCCUGUGUACUCGCCCUGACGUGUGUCAGAGCUGCUUGUCACACAGGCAGACAACACAUGCUUAGCUGCCCUGAAGACAAGAAACGACAGAGACUUCCAUGAAUUCUCUUAAAAUUUAACCACAGCAUUUCCAUGAAAGUCCAGGGAGGUGCCUUCUGGGAAAGGAGCUUGUUCCAACAGCUCCUCCAUCCUUGAAGGUCACACAAGGAGUGUGGAUUUUAUUCUGUAGUCAAGGAGACACAGCCCAUGGACAAACCCAGUGGUGUCCCACACACAGACUCUGGAAGAAGACCUGUCAACAGAGCUCAGCUUGGCUCCUACUCCUUUCACCGAGGUGCCACCACGGAGGGGCACUCCUGGUGACCUGGAGGGUCCUGUUGUCACCUGCCCUACUCACAGCCCUGUCUAGAAACAACCGACCGAGAAUGACCCAGAGCGGGAGGAUAGAGAGGUAAUCUGAGACUGGCACGGGUCCUGGGCCACCACUCAGAAGUGGGUGAACACAGUGAACCUACUAGCAAGUGGAGCCUGGACAGAGGGGUUGGUGGCGAAUGUGAAGGACACAUGUGGGUGCAGACCUGCUUGUUUUCCCAAGAUGAGAGUGUUUACUUUUUUUUUUUUUAAGAUUUUUAAAAAAUAGCCAGAUGGUGAUAGCACACACAUUUAAUCCCAGCACUCAUGAGGCAGAGCCAAAUAGAUCUCUGUGAGUUCAAGGCCAGAGUGGUCUACAGAGCAAGUUCCAGAACAACCAGGGUAGUUACACAGAGAAACCCUGUCUCAAAAAAAAAAAAAAAAAAAAAAAAAAAAAAAAAAUUAAAAAAUUAAUGUAUAUGGAAUGCUUGCCUACAUGGAUAUAUGUAUGUAUAUGAACCACAUGUGUGCACAGUACCCACAGAGGCCAGAAAGGCCUACCAGAUCCCAUCACGUGAGUGCUUAGAAUUGAACCCUGGUCCCCUGGAAGAGCAAUCAGUGCUCUUAAUGACUGAGUCCUCUCUCCAGCCACAUAUACUGUCCUUUUUCUUUUCUUUUUAUCUGAGAUGGAGUCUGACUGUGUUGCUGGUCUGGAACUCCUGUGCCACCCCAGCAAUUCUCCUGCCUCAGUUUCUCAAAUGCCUGGCUUCACAUCGGCUCCUGUACCACCCAGAGACAUAUCCAGCCUCCUCCCAGCAAUGAUUCUGACACUCACCCCACCGUAUUCAAAGACUUGUUUCCACACGCCUCACAUCAUGUUCUACCGGGACCGAUGCCAGUUGCAGGGGGGAAAAAAAGACAUUUUAUUCACACAGUAACUGUGAAGGCUCAUUCCUCUGAGUCGACACCAAGAUAAGACUGCUUGCUAUCAGGCAGGCCCAUGACGCAGGCUGGAUGAGGUACCUCCACAGAUCCAAGGGGCUCCUGGGGUUUCUGUUCUGGAAGAUGGGGUACAGGGGUGGGGGUGGGCGCACGGGCAGUGACAGUGGACUUUUUGAGCACCGUGGCCGCAGAACACAAGGAGGUACCCUAGGUAAUGCUACCUAAGACAUUACAUGUCUAGCAAUUAUCCUUUUUUUUUGAGAUGGGGUUUCACUAUGUAGUCCUAGCUGGCCUUGAACUCACAAAGAUCUGCUUGCCUCUGCCUCCAGGGUGGUGGGAUUAAAGGCUUGUGCCAUGAAAGCCCAGCUUGUACAAUUCAUCUCCAUGAAAAGGAAGAAAGCUUCAAGGUCUCUUGUUCCUUUCUUAUUCCAGGGGUGACCUAGCCUCUAGGAGUAUCUGGCACUGCACUAGGUACAAGCUUCUGACUGAAGGAGGCCAGCCCUGGCACACAGUGACAGCAACAAUAUCCUAUGGAGAGUGUUGGCUCACCAUGGAGGAGAGGCUUCUGAGCAGCUCAGGAGCCUGCAGGCGAGGCCCUGAGCCCUGGGGCAGGCUGCAGCCCGAGGACUCGGUAAUACGGUAAUUCCCCAUAGCUGACCAGGAGCCACAGAGACAAAUACUCAAGAAACUUGGCCCCAGAAAGGAGGUCUGUGUGGAAAGGGGGUCUACAAUGUGACCCAGGCAGGUGCUCACAUGGAAAAGAGUUGGCCAGCCUGGGUCUUCAUAGUGAGUUCCAGGACAGCCAGCGCUAUACUUAUAUAGUGAGAGCCUGUCUCCAAACACCAAACAAACAAAACAUGAAAGAAAAAAGAGAGAAAAGAUCCUGGGAAAAGUGGCCCCAAAGUAGGAAGGGGACCAAAGGCAGCAAAAGGGGGGUCACAGGAGGGUCAGCCAAGAGACAGGAAGUCACACACAGCGUGGAAUUAUCCGUGUCCCCCAUCUCGGCUACCUGGUAGGUCCCUAGUGAAUGGAAGAAGGGCAAUCUCACUGACCUUGCUGCACUGUGGGCAGAGCACGGGGAGAAGCUGGCCUAGUCUCUCAGUCUCUUGCCCCUCAGCCCUGACAGGUCCCAGUGUUAAUCAGGAAAUGACUCUGCCACUUCAUUUCACAGUCCAGCUUUAAGGGUCUGAAAGGUCACAACGGAGUUCUGAAAUCAAGUGCUCAAGUGCUCGUUUUGUUGGGCAGUGUCCCUGAGAGAGGUUGGGCUCCACAAAGGAUCAACAAUGGAUCCAAACAACAGAUAUCAAAUGACAGUUGUUCUCCACUUGAAGUCCCUGGGAGGCCCAAGACCAGUGUGCAGCGUGGCUGGCGACGCAUGCAGCUCGCAGUCCUCUCCUGAGUCCUCACACAGAAAGAGGGAACCGUGCUGUGGUCUCUUCUUACUAGGGUACUAACCCCACCUGAACAGGGCUCACCCUCCUGGCCUCAUCAGCUCCAAAGACCAUCACACUGGAGGGCAGGGCUUCAACACAUGGAUUGUGGAGGAAUAUUAUCUAGUCUACAACAGAUCCCCCAGUUGUUUCCCUUGGAGAAACUCUGGGCCGAACACUGUCUGGCCUGGAACCUGGUAAGUUACAUAGACAUACCUCCAGGAGUUAGUUCAGCAGCUCCGACAACAGACAACCUCAACAAGCCCUGAGCUUGCCGACCUAAUGAGAGACAACUGACUCCUACAACAUCCAGUUCUGAAACUGUCUCUGUGAGGGUCCGUUAGCUUCCCACCUUCCCUUCUUUUAUUGGAGAUGACUGUUGCUAUGUAGCCCAGGUUGGCCAUGAACUCUCCAAUCCCCUGCGUCAGCUUCCAAGUGCUGGGAUCACAGGUGUGCACCACUGUGCCUGGCAAUCUAGUGCCAUCUCUUAGGUCUCUUCAAGGGAGGCCAGAAGAAGCCUAAGCAGGAGUUGCAGAACAGAGGCCCCACUUCGCCUCUGCCAGCCGGGACGCUGCAAUCCAGAAUGCAGCUCCUCCUUCUAGGUACCUAUCACCAGCCCCAGCACAGUAACACAGCUCCAAGCUCUCUGCCUAUGCUCGGGAGACAACGUGAAGAAAUGGGAGAAUGAAGUGUCUCAGCCCAACAACACAGCACAGCAGGAGACGAGCACUGUGCCACUCAAGUGUAAACACCAGAGGUCCACCAGCUGCCUCCUGCCCUGUGAAGAAAUGCACCAAAGGACCCAGAGGAGAUCCCAGAGGAGAACCACAGGCAGGCCACCCCUCAGCGGUUUCUUAUCUCCCUCCUCCCUCAGUUGGAUCGUUCAGAGACCUAAAAGAACAGCACUUUAUUUCAGGACAGGCCAGCUUUGUGUUCCAGUAAGAAGAGUCGAUGGACAAGUGAUGCCCAGAUUAACCGUCUACAUUCCAAACAGCUGCAAUCCGCGUGCUCAGCUGAGUGCUCGGGGCCUGGAGAGGGAACCAAAGCUCAGGGCUCCUCUGUUCCCCCUACUUUUGAAUAAAUGUCUUUGACCUAACCCACA